CCCGCCAUAAUUGAUGGUGAGGGAGAGGGAACGGGAAGCUGCAAUUACACCUAUUCCCCAGGAGGUGGUGCCAGAAGAGAGGGCAGCCGAUCACAAGGGGGAGCUGCCCGCUGCAGUGAGGGAGAGGGAGGCUGGGUUCCUCACAGAGCCCGGCCCGCGGGGCCAGCAAUCCUCUAUAUGAGAGUAUGUCAGGUAGUGAGAUUGGGAGUGAGCAGGACUGAGAAUGACUGUCUUCAUCUUCACAUAUGAAGUCCAGAGAGUUCCUCAGCAGCAUGGGAGCAGAUUUUCUGACAUCAGGAAAGCCAACAUCAGGAGACUGUUUCCUAGACAGCAGUGGUCUGGGCCCAUCCAGAAAGAGGACAAUGUCCCUCUGAUAGGCUCAGGAGGUUCCUCCAUCCCCUUUCCUCAGCAAGGAACCAGAGAUGAAAGGGAAACAAGUGAGUGGCUGGAGCAGAGUGGGGGAGGUGUUGUGCAAGUGGCUUUGCUAAGUAUCCUUUAA